AUGCGGGGGAGCAGUAGCCGGGGCGGGGGCAGGGGACAGGGGAUGAUGUGGGGUCGGGGUGGACUACGCAGCCCUCGCGGAGCUGCGCGCAGGCCGGGAGGAGGUAGCGCCGGCGUGCUCGCUGCGCUGGCCGGGGAGAGGCGAGGGAGCCGAUCUAGAACUGCCCCCAUGUCCACCUUGGAACUCUCGAGGGCAAUGCAGAGGGCGAGCUCCUCGUCGAUGUCCAUGUCGGAGUCGGAGCGGCUGCCAGCGCUCGACAUGGUCGCUGGAGUCGCCGGAGCUGCCGGAUGGAUCGAAUCGAAUUGGAGAAGAAGAGACAGAGCGAGAGUGGAGUGA
rnacentral:rRNA from 1 species